rnacentral:lncRNA from 1 species
GCUGGAGGCCGCUUGUCACACACAGGGUCUCGAAUAGGUGCUCUUUCCUCCUUUACAUACCGCGUGUCAAUACCAGCUUCCUAUGCAACUUUCUCUUGUUCUUCCAUUUGAAUGAGGACUUCCUCUGAGUUCGUGCAGCACAUUGUUGCCCUACAUAUGUUUUUCUCAUCACUUAAUUUUUUAUUUUUUUAUUCUUUAAUUAGAUAAUGGCAUUCUGCUACGUACAAAGAUACCGCGAUGGAGGAGGUAUUUUUCCUUCUCCAAGGAGGACUGCCAUGUGUUGCUUAGUUAACUCCAAGGGAACGGGCCACUUUGUGCACAGUACACAUUUAGCUGGACGACAGAGGUGGCCCCUUCUCAAGGAACUCAGUGGGUAGUAAAGAAUGGUAGAUUUGGAAACUCAUAGCCAUAAUAGCCCAGUGUAAGAAAGAGAGAAUUAAUUGUACAUGGUGAAGCUGAGAAUGACUUCAUGACACAAGGAAGUAUGAGCUGAGCUUGUAAAAUGAGAAGAAAUCUGUCAGAGAAGGAAGCAAAAAAACAUUCUAGACCUCAGAGUCACCAGUCUCUGCCAUCUCCAUUCUCUCUCCCACUCUCCCUGUUUAUGAUACUGGUUGGCAAACUGCAGUCCACUGACUUGAUGUACUUGAUACCUGUGUAUAAAUAAAGUUUUAUUGGAACAUACCACACUCAUUCAUUUAUUUAUUUUCUGUAGCUGCUUUCAUGCUUCAAGAGAGUUGAGUAAAUGUGACAGAUUAUUUAAGGCUCGCCGAAGUCUGAAAUAUUUGUUCUCUGCCCCUUUACAGGAAUUAACUGGUUUCUCUCUGAUACACCCACAGUAUAAAGGAGCUGCUCAGAUGUUUGCUAAAUGAAGUGGCUGAAUAAUCAGGACCAACCAAAUCAAGGAGGACACAUGACAGAUGUAAUAAUAGACCUCUUGCAAAUAAAAGGUAAGUCCAAUGAUAUUAAGAAAAUAUCCAGGAGAAUUUUACAGAAUGUUCUCUCCAAUGUGGCCGAGGAAGAGCUCUUAUAUAACUUACAAUGAUACAAGAACCUCAAGGCAUCAACCACAAACUCAGCCUCAAGUGACUUAAAAGUGUUUGCCACCCUACAUGUAUUAUCAUUCAUAAACGUGAAAUAUUAGCACAGACACAUCAACUCUAAUGAAAUACAAGAAAUUGUAGAUAUUAACAUCAACUAGAUAAUAGAAAUCUGUUGGAACAUUUCUUUUUAAGUCUAUCUUUUGGAUAUCUAGUAAAUAAGCUGUAUUAUCAUAAAUAUUUGCAUUGUAUCAAAACUAACUGGUGAUUAAAAUUUCAGCAUUUUGUCCAGUCCCUUAAAAUGAAACACAGGUGUAGAAAAUGAACUGAAAUGUUCUAAGGAAACCAAACUUCUGAUCUUAUAUAGGCUUGAAUCAUACUUCUGCACAUUCCAUUUUGUCAUGUUUGAAGACCAGAAAUUAUUAACCCGCUAAUGCUCCAAGUGGUUGAGAAUGCAAAUAGUGUCACAAAUACUCCAUAAAUUCUUUUUUAAUGAUGUUUCUGACUUAUCUUUGCCCACAAAAGUGUGUUCACUUUCUUGAGUUCUGUGGGACAUCACUGCAAUGGGUACCUCUCAGACUGGUUCUUAGAAACCCCACCUUUGGGGCACCUGGCUGGCUCAGUGGGUGGAGCACGCAGUUCUUGAACUUGGGUUUGUGAGUUCAAGUCCCAAAUUAGGUGUAGAGAUUACUUAAAUAAACUUAAAGAAAAAGAAAAGAAAAGAAACCCA